GGGGAGGUCGCAUAGCCUGGUCUAGUGCGCCCGCCUGCUAAGUGGGUAAGGGUGGCAACAUCCUUCGAGGGUUCAAAUCCCUCCCUCCCCG
rnacentral:tRNA from 1 species